rnacentral:rRNA from 1 species
UGGGGAAUCUUGGACAAUGGGCGCAAGCCUGAUCCAGCCAUGCCGCGUGAGUGAUGAAGGCCUUAGGGUUGUAAAACUCUUUCGCCGAGGACGAUAAUGACGGUACUCGGAGAAGAAGCUCCGGCUAACUUCGUGCCAGCAGCCGCGGUAAUACGAAGGGGGCUAGCGUUGUUCGGAUUUACUGGGCGUAAAGCGCGUGUAGGCGGGUCGGUAAGUUGGGGGUGAAAUCCCGAGGCUCAACCUCGGAACUGCCUUCAAAACUGGCGACCUGGACCUAAGUAGAGGCAAGUGGAAUUGCGAGUGUAGAGGUGAAAUUCGUAGAUAUUCGCAGGAACACCAGUGGCGAAGGCGACUUGCUGGACUUAUGGUGACGCUGAGACGCGAAAGCGUGGGUAGCGAACAGGAUUAGAUACCCGUGUAGUCCCUGAGCGGGCUGGCAAGGCGCAU